rnacentral:rRNA from 1 species
CCUACGGGUGGCAGCAGUGAGGAAUAUUGGUCAAUGGACGAGAGUCUGAACCAGCCAAGUAGCGUGAAGGAUGACUGCCCUAUGGGUUGUAAACUUCUUUUAUAUGGGAAUAAAAUGUUCCACGUGUGGGAUUUUGUAUGUACCAUAUGAAUAAGGAUCGGCUAACUCCGUGCCAGCAGCCGCGGUAAUACGGAGGAUCCGAGCGUUAUCCGGAGUUAUUGGGUUUAAAGGGAGCGUAGGUGGAUUGUUAAGUCAGUUGUGAAAGUUUGCGGCUCAACCGUAAAAUUGCAGUUGAAACUGGCAGUCUUGAGUACAGUAGAGGUGGGCGGAAGUCGUGGUGUAGCGGUGAAAUGCUUAGAUAUCACGAAGAACUCCGAUUGCGAAGGCAGUUCACUGGACUGCAACUGACACUGAGGCUCGAAAGUGUGGGUAUCAAACAGGAUUAGAUACCCUUGUAGUC